rnacentral:rRNA from 1 species
UCCCCAUUCGACCCGUCUUGAAACACGGACCAAGGAGUCUAACAUGUGUGCGAGUUUUUGGGUG